GGAGGAGUACCCAAGUGGCUGAAGGGACUGGUCUUGAAAACCAGCAGACGUGAGAGCGUGCGGGAGUUCGAAUCUCCCCUCCUCCG
rnacentral:tRNA from 1 species